ACAGGACUGCGUCUCUCACCACCACAGCCAGGCAGCUGCUCUUCUAGCUUCUGAUUAUCAUCCCCAAGCCAUGCCUUGGUCAUUUCUGAGUUGAACAAAAUCAUGGAAGAUGUGACUGUCAAGUGGAGACAUCGAGCCUUUCUGCUGCCCUCAGCAUCUCCCAGCAGCCUCUCUGGUUCAAGACUUUCUUUGUCUCUAGAAGUUGCUCCAGGAUCCCAGACUGUAUUGCUAAGCCAUAGGAAGAGAGAGGAGAAAUGUUAGGAUGGGAGAGUCGCAUCAACAUUCUCAAAAGAAUUCCAUGAUGACAUCAGUACCCAUCCUCAACUGCAAUGAAACUGUGUGUCUCUCCCAAGGAGAUAAACAGGAGGGGAACAUUAGAAACAGAUGCUGCCUGUGGCUGCCUUUUCAUAAUACUCCAUGCCAACGAUUUGCACUUCUGUCGUCCCUUUCAUCUGGGAACCACAAGGCCAUCUGAAACUUCUCUGAUCAGCUUCAGAGGAGUCCCCUCUAUCAGUUAAGAAUUGUACUCUACACUGAGAAGCAGGAUGUUCAGCAAAGACACCGGGAUGUAUUUGCCUGAAGAAGAACGGAAGAGAACUGAAAAGAGACAUCUAAGGGGAUGACGUUGUCAUCGGGCCAUUAAUACCUGAACUGCAUUUUAUUUCACAGAGGGCCUCAGGUACUCACAUAGCCCUACAGUGUGGAAUCAAUGUCUGAGAAACCAGGAAGAAAAUCUGACCCAAAGCUAGUGGAAAGGCAGAGAGAGAAGCUGAUACCUUCAGGAACAGCGAAUGCCACACUUGUUUCUGCUCCCCCUGGAUUUAUCAUGGAAGGUGAUCUAAUCCAUCCAUUCCCAGAAGAGAGUGUGUUGUAGCACUGGGUAUUUAUUCUCAGCAUGCCAAAGUUCUGUGCCCACAGAAAAGGUCCACCUCGCCUACUGUCAAGACUUUGGGUAGAUGUGUGGAUGCUCAGAUGCCUUGCUCCUUUCUCCUUUCUCAUGCAUGUUUCUGGCUUUGUGUAUUCCCUGGAUUUUGCCCAUGUCCUUCAUCACUGUGGGCUCCAAGAUACACUUUACUUGGUCUGUGAAAAACAGCUGACUCAACUGAAAACCUCCAUGGACUUCUUCACUAUUGAUUCAGGGUGGACUCUACUUGCAUUGGUGAAAUUCCAGCCUGGGUUACUUCUGUCCAGUCUUAAUACUGAAAUUCUAGAGAGUAGCCACCCAAUCUGGAAGCCACGACAAAACUCUUGAUGGACGUGGGGAACUAGGUCAAUAUGUCACAUCCACAUCAUCCUAGAUCAGAUUGCCUGGGGACACAAUGACCAAGCUUUCCCAUCCAUAGAAGACAUGCUUCAGGCUGUCCCUACAGGCCCCCUCCAGCUCUUUAAGAGAGAUCCUUAGGGAGGCCCUGGUCUUUGUCAGAGACUGGGGUUGGUGGAGGGUGGCUAAUCUGUAAGUCUCCAGAAAACUAUGUGUCUGUCCUAUACAAUCUCAGCAAGCUGUUGGCCCAAAGUCUUGUGUUUUGCACUAACCAUGUAUCUCUCACUUCAUAUUAAACAAUACCCUCAACUUUU
rnacentral:lncRNA from 1 species